GCAACGUCUACUUUAGUUGGCAUGUCCGCUAUCGAGACUCUACUGUCAUGUUUUUGUUGUGGGGUUUAUUUAAAACUCUACAGGCAGAGAAAUUAUAAGAGUACACAGACAGAAAUGAGCUGGAAAGACGGAACAAAUGAUGACCCCGUCAUUAUGGGUGUCCCACAAGCCUCUGAGUCAUUCCAGGUCAUAAGCUCAAAGGAAACCAAGGACAUGGAAAAGGAUAAAAAGGGAAAGAAGUGAUGUGUUCAACAUUAGCUCGAACAAAUAAUCCAGGGAAGGGGUCAAGCAGAAAAUUGUAAAAAGUAUUAUUAAAACAUGCAACUGUAUAACUUUCCUUUUCAAUAUCAAUUUGCAUAGUUUGAAAUUAUAAUUCAAGUAUUAUGCAGAUAGUAUUUGUAUAGUAGCAUUAAAUUGAUGAAUAAAUAAAUAGCAAUCC